UUUCUUAAACCUAAUUUACUGUUACGUGUUGGGCAAUUUCACUAUAUUUUUUUAAAAAGAUUUAUGGCACGUUUACUAACUGUGUCAAUGUCAGCAUAUUACGUAUAUCAUAUACAAUAAAAUAUAUUUUUAUUUGAGGUUUUGGAACUAAAUCAUUCUUACUGGAGUCAUGCUGCACUCAAUGGUUGAUUAAUAAUAAAAAUGAAGCGACACUGGUGGUUUUGCAAAAGAUUCUCUGGAUUGCAAUAUUUAUUUCUAAGAAAAGCAUCUACAACAUCAACUGGUUCAUCAGGAAAUACCUAUUUUAUCACAACUCCAAUAUUUUAUGUAAAUGCCUCUCCACAUAUUGGUCAUCUUCACUCUGCUGUUCUAGCUGAUGCGUUACACAGGUCGUAUAUCUUGCUUGGUAAAGAAAAAAGCAUUUUUUCUACUGGAACUGAUGAACAUGGAUUAAAG